rnacentral:rRNA from 1 species
UACGUGCAAGUCGAGCGAACCGAUGGGGUGCUGGCAUUCCUGAGGUUAGCGGCGGACGGGUGGGUAACACGUAGGCAACCUGCCUGUACGACCGGGAUAACUCCGGGAAACCGGAGCUAAUACCGGAUAGGGUGCCGAACCGCAUGGUUCGGCAUGGAAAGGCCUUUGAGCCGCGUACAGAUGGGCCUGCGGCGCAUUAGCUAGUUGGUGGGGUAACGGCCUACCAAGGCGACGAUGCGUAGCCGACCUGAGAGGGUGAACGGCCACACUGGGACUGAGACACGGCCCAGACUCCUACGGGAGGCAGCAGUAGGGAAUCUUCCGCAAUGGACGAAAGUCUGACGGAGCAACGCCGCGUGAGUGAGGAAGGUCUUCGGAUCGUAAAACUCUGUUGUCAGGGAAGAACCGCCGGGAUGACCUCCCGGUCUGACGGUACCUGACGAGAAAGCCCCGGCUAACUACGUGCCAGCAGCCGCGGUAAUACGUAGGGGGCAAGCGUUGUCCGGAAUUAUUGGGCGUAAAGCGCGCGCAGGCGGCUUCUUAAGUCAGGUGUGAAAGCCCACGGCUCAACCGUGGAGGGCCAUCUGAAACUGGGGAGCUUGAGUGCAGGAGAGGAGAGCGGAAUUCCACGUGUAGCGGUGAAAUGCGUAGAGAUGUGGAGGAACACCAGUGGCGAAGCGGCUCUCUGGCCUGUAACUGACGCUGAGGCGCGAAAGCGUGGGGAGCAAACAGGAUUAGAUACCCUGGUAGUCCCACGCCGUAAACGAUGAGUGCUAGGUGUUGGGGAGUCCACCUCCUCAGUGCCCGCAGCUAACGCAAUAAGCACUCCGCCUGGGGAGUUACGGCCGCAAGGCUGAAACUCAAAGAAUUGACGGGGACCCCGCACAAGCCGUGGAGCAUGUGUUUAUUUCGAGCACGGCGAAAGACCUUUACAGGCUUGACAUUCCGCUGAAUCCCUCUGC